UAAUAGGAACUUUCAGGGAUCAUUUCUAUAGUACAUUACUAGAGAAGUUUCUCCGAUUGUGUAGGGCACAAAUGACUUUGGAUGUACAAAACAUUGAGAAUACUAAAAGAACCACUUGAAGU
rnacentral:snoRNA from 1 species